ensembl:snoRNA
UGCGUUUUUGUUUUUGUUUAACUUGUGGACAAAGACUUACAGAUUGGUGCAAAAAAUAAAUCCUCUUUUGCAACCCAGAAUUCACUGUUCAGUAUGAAUUUUGAUACAUACAAGAAGAGAUACU